GACACUUCUUAUUUCGGGUCCUGCCUCCCCAGCAGCAGUCUGCAACUUGCCGGCAUCCAGGCAGGACGGCGGCCACAGAGCAGAGGAGAGAGCUACAAUGAAUAUAAGUUUGUGGAGGAAAUUCUGGUGGAGGUUUUAUGAUAAAAGAAAAAAUUCUCCUCCAUUGCGGUCCUGCUGCAGUCCCAGCAACCUGGUCAACUGCAGAGGCUACCACGGUGCCGUCGGCUUCUCCUCUUUACCCUUGCUGGAGUCUGAGUCUCUGAUUCCCGCCCGCCUGGCUUCUCCAAGCUCCCCGUCCCCCAUCUCCUUGCCCACCCACCCUCUGCAAAGGACCCCGGGGCUGGUUCCUUGGCAGAAGCCCUGUCUCCCGACAAGAUGGGAAGUGAUGUCACGCUGCGCACAGGAGCCUGCUCUUCUGGGGAUGUUCACGGGUGUGACACAGUUCAGAGACUGUUGCCUCUCACUGACCUGGACCUUGGACUUCCAGAGGAAGAGCCUUGGCACUGGCGGCCGCUUCUUCCCAUCGCUCGCGUUAGUGUC
rnacentral:lncRNA from 1 species